rnacentral:rRNA from 1 species
UACGGGGGGAGCAAGCGUUGUUCGGAUUUACUGGGCGUAAAGGGCGCGUAGGCGGUCAGCACAAGUCAGUUGUGAAAUCUCCGGGCUUAACUCGGAAAGGUCAACUGAUACUGUGCGACUAGAGUGCGGAAGGGGCAACUGGAAUUCUCGGUGUAGCGGUGAAAUGCGUAGAUAUCGAGAGGAACACCUGCGGCGAAGGCAGCACUCUGGGACGUGACUGACGCUGAGACGCGAAAGCGUGGGGAGCAAACAGG